rnacentral:lncRNA from 1 species
ACAUCAAAAUUCAACCCGAGCAUUAGCCAAGGGUUAGAUGAUCCUCUGGAGGAAAGUAGAAGUCCACCUCUGGGCCAGUGAU